UACGGGGGGGGCAAGCGUUGUUCGGAAUUACUGGGCGUAAAGGGCUCGUAGGCGGCCAACUAAGUCAGACGUGAAAUCCCUCGGCUUAACCGGGGAACUGCAUCUGAUACUGGAUGGCUUGAGUUCGGGAGAGGGAUGCGGAAUUCCAGGUGUAGCGGUGAAAUGCGCAGAUAUCAGGUGGAACACCGAUGGCGAAGGCAGUGAUCUGGGCCAGUACUGACGCUGAGGAGCGAAAGCGUGGGGAGCAAACAGG
rnacentral:rRNA from 1 species